GAGUGAUCAAAAUAGAGGAAGAUGGUUGUCGCCGCAAUCCAGGGCUUUGCAAGGCGCAGUUUAAUGGGCCGCCUGUCAGCUUCCCGCUCGCUAAAGGAGGUGACAAGCCUGCCGAGCCGGGAAGGGCCUGGGGCUCAGUGGGCUGCACCCUGCGCCCGCGCCCCUGCCCGCCACCUCCCCUAGGGUGAGCCUCCAGAACGCAGGGGGGAGACGCCAAAAUAGACAAGGGCUGCUUUUUUCUUUUUCAUUUUUUUCUUCCUUUUAAAACAAAGCGGCGAUUCAUUCCCUCUCCCCCAGCAGCGCCUUCGGGUGGGAUGGGCAGGCGAGAAGGCCGUUUUCCUCUCCCGGCCUCGGGUCCCUCCCUGAAAUGCGGCGUCAGAUGGUUACUGAUUAAUAUUUUGGAGAGGCCUUGGCAGCGGGCAGCGGGCAGCGGGCAUCCGCUCUCAAGACGCGUUCCAGCCGACAAAAUUCUCCCCCUUCAUUAUAAAGCCAAAGGACAGGCCAACCUUGAGCCCGGCUGUGUCCCCUGCCGCGCCUUUGUCGGCGCUGAGGCCUGCGAAUGUUGGCUGGUCCUCCGAUUCCUGGAGCACAAGUCGGCCUCAGUUCUCCCCACGGCACGGUCGAACCUGGUUCUUCCAGAACCUUGGUGUUGCUGGCCGCGUGGAUACAUCUUCCCCGUUUUCUCAGCAAGGGUAAGGGGACAGCUAGCAUUCUUUCCAAGGCAUGGAAGUCCAAGUCACCCCAUCGGUUGCCCCGAACCGCCUUUCUCCGAUCGGAGCCCCCGAACUACACCAGCGUCUAAGGUAGUGAAGGGGAUGCCGAGGAUGGCGAGCUCCAAAGGCCGUGGGCAGUUCUAGGCAAGAGUUUCCGCAGGGUCGAACAACCAGGGAGCUCCCUGCCCGGGCGCCGCUAAAACCCGGAGAGGCCGCGCCCGGCACAGCCAUCCUCGCUGCAACUGGACCAGGUGCGGCUCAGCCAGCCCAGUCGAGAGCCAUGAGGACUCACCAGGAAGGCCAGAGACGCGGUGCCAGCGCCCCGCUCGCCACCAGAACCCUGGUGCACGGCUAGGAGAGCCCGGGCCGUUGCGCCAGGCCGGGCCUCGAAGGAUUCCUCCGACUCCUCUCGGCCCCGCCUACGACCCUGGCCUCUUCCUCCGGCCCGGGUCGGGUCUUCCACUCCACUGUUUGGCUCGAAGAGGACGGAGAAGCGCUCAGUGCGCUGGGGGCCGGCCACGGCCAUAAAUCUCCCUCACCAGCCCUCCUUCCGCUGCUCACUGGCGGGUGUUCCAGCCUGGCCACUCGUCCCCGGCCGCCAGGUACCCUGCUCUCCCGGUCACUACGCUGGAAAUCACUGUCAGGAGCUUCCCCGUUCGCCAAAAAGAGGGAGUCGCCUCGCCCAUUCGGUGCCACCACCAGCCAUCCCCUCGAGUGCCGGACCCCGAGGCGGCCUGGGCCUCACGGAUCACCGCCCUGGGUAGGGGCGUGCGGGGGCCAGGUGAAGGCCUGCUGAGGUUUGAAUGGGUGCGCAGCUAUCCGAGCCACCGAGGGGCGACGCCUAGGUCAGGAACAGUGGCUUCUCAGCUGGUCACCUCAACGGACCCUGCCUUAGUCCCGCGCCCUUGGAUCCCUCUUCGCUCGCCACGGGUUCCCCAGCUUGGCGACCCUUGUUUGACGCCCUACCCUCUUGGCACAAAUAACCAAACCAUUGGGAAAACAGGAAUCUGUCGCUUGCAGGUCGAAGGCUAGGCGGGGCGCUGGUUUUUCCACCCUAACAGUCGGGAGGAAGUUGUUGGGAAGAUCUGCAGUAGUAACGACUAAUGUUAUGGGCAUUGUCUGUCUUCUUUGACAGAGGGGCCCGCAGACCUCUCUGCUGGUCCCUGCUUCAGCCAAGCAAGUGGAGGUACUCAGUGGGGACUAACCACCACGAAAGGGGCCGUGGGACGCUGGGUGGGGACAGUUGCGGAGGGGUUGACAAUGCACCUUCUUGGGUGCCUCCCCAAAACCUCACAUGGUGCCAGUGACACAAUUCCGAGCGGGUGACAGAGGAGGCCGGGUGCAGGGGCUUUUGAAACUGGGCCCCGAGGUCGCUCUCACUCAAGGAGCUCCAGCUCCCUCAAAUUUCCAAAAGCACAGUUGGAGGGACCGAGGGCUUCCGGCAGCCAGGCGCGCAGGAAUUUGCGCGCUGGCCCCAGCGACGCCCGGGAGCGCAGAGGCUGCCCAGCCACAUUCCGGCGAACCGCCCCAGCGAGGCCCCAGCCCAGGAAGCGGCUCGGAAAACAAAGCGCUGUGGUCUCAGCCCAAGGUUAAAGUCCACCGCCAGCGCUUUUUCCCCCGGAAUCUGAGAGCGAUAGCGUUUCUCCAAAUAAACCGCCAAUAAAUCAGCUCCCGGGCCGAGCCAACUGAAGAGCUCUGGUGACCUUGGGGAAUACUUCCUGCCUGCCAGACCCAGCAGAGGACAGGCGUGGGGGAGGGGGCCAAUGUCAGCCCGUUCCCCCCCACCCCCCCAAGAAGAGAGGUGUGCCAAGGACAUUUGUGGGUGUUUAUUAGGGUGUGCGUGCCCAGAGGGGAUGGGCGAGGUUUGGAGCAAGGUUUGGGAAGCCCUGGUUAUUUGGGGACCUCAGUGCGCGGUUGUAAGGAGGUUUGUGAUGCUGGGGGCUGCUUCGGAAAGGCUGACCGAUGAGGGCCUCCAGAGCCACACGGUGCUAGUCCCUGGGGACCCAGCCCCGGACACUCUGGGCCCCUUCGGGGGCCCUGGUCUUUGUCUGGGUGUGACAGGGUGUGUUCGGCUUCGAGCUUGUGUAGAGUGUGACUAAUGGGAUUUAUGGAUGUCAGUGCCAGGGUGACUAAUGGAGGCUUGGCAGCACGUGCUUUUGGCGAGGGCCACUGCACCUAGGUGGGGACCCAGUGCCCCAGGAGGGGGCUGCUGGGUCUCAGAAGCCCCCUCCCCUCCCCCACUAGCUCCCAGCUUGGUCUGCGGCCCCUCCACACACGCCCUGGCAGGCCAGUGCAUGCUGCAGCGCUCCCCGACACAUCCCUCUGCGGCCUGGCCCCCAGAGGCCCUCCAGGCCUCCCAUCUCUCUGACCCGUGUGGUUGGUGCCUCCAGAUCCUGGCCUUCCCACCACCUUGGCAGAGCCCUCCAAUCCGCCUCUCUUUCAUCCUGAAAACUCCCUACACGCACAUUGUACAAGCCCCUUCGGGCUCAGCCCUGGGAUGUGGGUACCAUUCUAUCCAUUCAGUGGCUGCUACACCUUCAGGGUGGGCAGGAAAAGUGACAGACUCAUAGCUAGCAGGGCUGACCUCACCAGGCAGGGUGCUGGGGAGAACAUGCCUUCUUUUUUUGUUGAUUUGGGGGAGUUUUGGGGGGGGGUUCUUUUGACAGUGCUGGGGGGUGGAACCGAGAGCCUCAGACAUACUAAGCGUGCAGGCUACCACUGAGCUGCACCCCUUAAAAAACGUAAAUGAUUGCUGGGGAUUUAGUUCAGUGGCGCCACACCUGCCUUGCAAGCGCCAAGGUCCUGAAUUCCACCCCUGGUACCAAAAAAAACAUAAAUGCUGCCAGGUGUGGUGACGCACUCCCUCUGAUCUCAGCAGAUGGCCAGCAGAAGCAGGAGGAUGGCAAGUUUGAGCCCAGCCUGAGCAACUUAGGAAGGCUGUCUCAAAGUAAUAAAUGGGAUGGAGGAGCCAGGGAUUUAGCUCAGUGGUUCCACUGCCUUCCUUGCAAGUGCAAGGUCCUGAGUUCGACCCCGGUAAUGAAAAAAAAAAAAAGGUCUAGGAAUGUAGCUCAGUGCAGAGGCCCUGAGUUCAAUCCCCAGUGCCACCAAAUAAAAGAGUAAAUAACCUAUCCACACUAACACAACUCACUGCACUGGUUUUUGUUCUUCCACCAAUCAGCCUUGUGGUCUUCUGGGGACUUUCUCCUGACUGUAACCUGAGGGGAGGUCAAAUGUCAGUGGUUUGGCCAGGGGCAGUAUGGAUGGGUUGAGGUCCGGCUAGUAUAGGGCUGCAUUCCAAUGGAGUUCAGGAGGGCAAU
ensembl:lncRNA